rnacentral:SRP_RNA from 1 species
GCCGGGCGCGGUGGCGCGUGCCUGUAGUCCCAGCUACUCGGGAGGCUGAGGCUUGAGGAUCCCUUGAGUUCAGGAGUUCUGGGCUGUAGUGCGCUAUGCCGAUCGGGUGUCCGCACUAAGUUCGGCAUCAAUAUGGUGACCUCCCGGGAGCGGGGGACCGCCAGGUUGCCUAAGGAGGGGUGAACCGGCCCAGGUCGGAAACGGAGCAGGUCAAAACUCCCGUGCUGAUCAGUAGUGGGAUCGCGCCUGUGAAUAGCCACUGCACUCCAGCCUGGGCAACAUAGUGAGACCCUGCCUCU